AUGGGUUUGUGUUCAUUAUAGGAAAUUUCUGCAUAAUGUUCUGUCGCUAUUAGGUGUAGUAUUUAUUUUAUACAGUAACUUUCAUUCAAUCCAUCCUGAAUCAGUCCACAGAAAACAAAUGCUCAUAAGUGAUCCUGCUUUUAAAAUAUCGUAACAUAAACAGAAACUACAGUACAAAACAGCCUUUCAGACGACACCCACUAUCUAAAUCAAAGAUAAGCUACGUCCUUAAAUUUCAUUUCUUCUUUCUAUCCGCAGAUCACAAUCAGAAACCUCAGAUAAUUACAGGUAUGACACCAGAUAAGAUGGCAUCAAAUGGCACUAACCGUAACCUUACAAGCAUGUCUUGAUGUCUGAUACGAGUCUUCUUUCAUUAGAAACCCAGGAGGGAGGACAGGCAUUAGGGGACAGGGUGCACUCGGUCAACUGGGUCCAAAUCUGCAUUUAGACCUUGUGCUGACGCGGUAGGUCUCAGCUGCUUACAAAGCAUUUUAAAAGGUUAUUUAACUACAACUGGAUGAGAACUUGAUGUGAGACUUUGAUAUUAGGUGGCGAGACAGCACAAGAUCAGUUCUGGAGUUCUUGGCAGUUUGGGACGAAAGCCAGGGAACCUUGACUUUACCUGGAGGACCUGUCCAGUCUGCUGAUCACCUGCCCGUGACUCUUCAGAAAACCAUGGGAAAGACACUGUAUGAAAAAUUAAAUGCAAAAGUUUCAGAGGGAACAAAGGUAAGUCCGUUCAGCCUUUAGGUUUGAGCUUUAAUGUUCCUAGAUGGGCAUUAUAGUUUACAGACUAUACAAGCAAUGCUGUGCAUAGCAACAAUACAUUUCAUCAUCAAACCACUAGUAAAUAGAACAUAGAAAAUAAUUUGAUCAUUGUGUGACUGUGAUUUAGGUGCUUGAGGGUUAUGUGGAUGACUGCAGGAACACAGAUAAUGCCUGGGUGGAAACCACUGUCCUAAACAUCCACCUGGACAGAACGCACCAGGUGAUGGCGGACAUCAAUAGUACGGUGAGCAGCCAUGUCUUUCUUCGGUGGAUAGAAGUGAGCAGCAAAACAAGACUUAGCUCAGACCAAAGAGACUCUCUGCAGCGGGUUGCUGAGCUGCACAACAGGAAGUUCUGAUUUUCCCACAUUGCUGUAAACAUGCCUCCUCACACCUGUUUAAUGGGGCCUUAUGUAAAUGCUGACAUUGAUUGAUUUUGUUGCACUGAAUGCACUUGUGCAAAACGCCUAAAGACAAGACACUUGUAA
rnacentral:lncRNA from 1 species